rnacentral:rRNA from 1 species
GUUACCCCAGUAAAUAACUCUGCAUUUGAAAGGUGGCUUUGUUUAUCAAAACCUGUCUGAAUAUGGGUAAAUUUAUGCUUAUAGCUAUCGCUACUGCCUUUACCGCCUAAUACUCUAGCCCAUACGCCUGCAUUGGCGUCAAUGCCACGCAACUCUCCCAUUCUCUUAUUAAGAUUGUUCAUUUCAACAUGGUUAAGAUCAGUAUGCAAUGAAGUAACUUCAUUAGCUUCUUUGAUCGCAGCUUGAUUUGGGGAUUUCGUGAUAUGGAUAUUUCCAUUCUGG